CGCAAGAUUAAAACUCAAAUGAAUUGACGGGGGCCCGCACAAGCGGUGGAGCAUGUGGUUUAAUUCGAUGCAACGCGAAGAACCUUACCUACUCUUGACAUCCAGAGAACUUUCCAGAGAUGGAUUGGUGCCUUCGGGAACUCUGAGACAGGUGCUGCAUGGCUGUCGUCAGCUCGUGUUGUGAAAUGUUGGGUUAAGUCCCGCAACGAGCGCAACCCUUAUCCUUGUUUGCCAGCACUUCGGGUGGGAACUCCAGGGAGACUGCCGGUGAUAAACCGGAGGAAGGUGGGGACGACGUCAAGUCAUCAUGGCCCUUACGAGUAGGGCUACACACGUGCUACAAUGGCGCAUACAGAGGGCAGCAAGCUAGCGAUAGUGAGCGAAUCCCAAAAAGUGCGUCGUAGUCCGGAUUGGAGUCUGCAACUCGACUCCAUGAAGUCGGAAUCGCUAGUAAUCGUGGAUCAGAAUGCCACGGUGAAUACGUUCCCGGGCCUUGUACA
rnacentral:rRNA from 1 species